GUGGGAUUCUGAAACGUAUAAUU
rnacentral:sRNA from 1 species